rnacentral:rRNA from 1 species
GCUUGUGAUUUAUUGCAUCCGGUGGAUGCCUUGAUAUUCACCAAACGAGCAGUUUAUACAGAUAACAACGAAGUUGCUGCUUCUAGAGCAGCUAGUGAUCGGUUGUUGAAACCACCUAGCUAAUCACAACACAGGGAACUGAAACAUCUUAGUACCUGUUGAGAAAAGAUAUCCAAGAUAUUUCGUUAGUAACAGCGAGUGAAACCGAACCAGGCUGAUCUGGUAACCUUAGUUCGUUGGUAAUUGUCAGGAUAGACAAGCGAUACACGGUGAUAGCCCAUAGCCAUUAACAACGAGGUUAACCAUUAAAAGUAGGAUGGAACACAAUGGAUUCCGUCCGAAGAUAGGAGGACCACCUUCUAAGCCUAAACAUUGGGAACAAUCGAUAGUGAACUAGUACCGUGAGGGAAAGGUGAAACAGAUGUCCGAACAGGACAGUGAAACAGAUCCUGAAACCGGAUGCUAACAAGCAGUCGGAGGGUCCAAAGACCUGACGACGUACCUUUUGUAUAAUGGGUCAACGAGUUACUGUCACAAGCAAAGCCGAGGCUUAUACCGAGGCGAAGCGAAAGCAAGUCCACAAAGGGCAUGAUAUAAACUUAAUGUUUAUUACGUUUGUGGCAUUAAACCCGAAACCGAGUGAUCUAACCAUGGACAGAUUGAAGAUCAGUUGAACUGACCGAAGGAUCGAACCCGUACGUGUUGCAAAACGUUGGGAUGAUCUGUGGUUAGGGGUGAAAGACCAAUCAAACUCGGAGAUAGCUGGUUCUCUGCGAAAUCUAUUUAAGUAGAGUNGCAAAACGUUGGGAUGAUCUGUGGUUAGGGGUGAAAGGCCAAUCAAACUCGGAGAUAGCUGGUUCUCUGCGAAACCUAUGUAGGUAGGUUGUUAGCUGAAUCUCAAGGAGGGGUAGAGCACUGGAUGGAUGGGCAUAACGAGAGUUAUGUUAAGUUCAACCAAACUUCGAAUACUGUUGAUGAAUUAUUGGUUAAUAAUCACACCAUGAGCUUAACGUCCAUGGUGGAGAGGGGAACAACCCAGACCUUAGAAUAAGGUCCUUAAAUCUGAUCUAAGUGAGGAAGAUGGCAGUUGUUCAAUGUCGAUCAGGAUGUAGGCUUAGAAGUGGCCAUCAUCUAAGGAAAGCGUAACAGCUCACUGAUUAACGAAUGAUCUGUAUCGAAAAUGUAACGGGACUAAGAUCAGUACCGAAGUCAAGGGUGUUGCUAAUUAAGCAACGCAGUAGCAGAGCAUUCCGUAGGCCAUUGAAGGCAACCCGUGAGGGUUGUUGGAGGCAUCGGAAGUGAGAAUGUUGACAUGAGUAACGAUAAUUGAAAGAAAGAACCUUUCACACCGAAUGAUCAAGGUUUCCAUAUUUGAAAGUUAAUCUGAAUGGGGUUAGCCGAUCCCUAAGGUAAAGCGCAAGCGCAUAGCCGAUGGUAAUCACGUUAAUAUUCGUGAGCCUUCUACAAGUGACUUAAUUCGAACCAUGUCUCUGUCUAAAUGGAUUGACAUGGCAUGUUAGGAUUAACAAGAAAAAGCUUGUGGAUUUUGUUCGUACCGAAAACUGACACAGGUGAUCGGGUAGAGUAUACCAAGGUGUUUGAGAUAAUUGUGUUGAAGGAACUCGGCAAACUGCAUGCGUAACUUCGGGAGAAGCAUGACCUUUUCAUGGGUAACCAUAUUUGGGUGUAAUAAAAUUGAGGGAAGCGACUGUUUAACAAAAACACAGGACUCUGCAAAAUCGUAAGAUGAAGUAUAGAGUCUGACGCCUGCCCGGUGCUGAUCAGCGAAAGCCUGGAUGUUCGAAGCAUCCGGUCAAAGCUUCAGUAAACGGCGGCCGUAACUAUAACGGUCCAAAGGUAGCGAAACCCCUUGUCGGGUAAGUUCCGACCUGCAUGAAUGGCGUAACGACUUCCCUGCUGUCUCCAGCACAAGCUCAGUGAAAUUGAAAUCCUCGUGAAGAUGCGAGGUACCUGCGGCAAGACGGAAAGACCCCGUGCACCUUCACUGCAACCUUGUAUUGAUGGACUUUGAUCAAUUGUACAGUGUAGAUGGUAAGCGAUAACCGUUGGACGUAAGCCCAACGUAAGCUGUCAAUGAAACACCAUCCUGUUAUCAAACAACAUCUUAUUGUUUUAAGCCAAUCUUAAUACAAGACCAUGCAAGGUGGGUAGUUUGACUGGGAUGGUCACCUCCUAAAAGGUAACAGAGGUGUACAUAAGGUAGGCUCAUGACGGUUGGAAAUCGUCAGUAGAGCACAAUGGCAUAUGCCUGCUUAAGACUGCGAGGCAGACAUGUCGAGCAGAGACGAAAGUCGGUCAUAGUGAUCCGAUAACACCAUGUGGAAGGGUUGUUGCCAACGGAUAAAAGGUACGCCGGGGAUAACAGGCUAAUAGCUCCCAAGAGUUCUUAUCGACGGAGCUGCUUGGCACCUCGAUGUCGACUCAUCGCAUCCUGGGGCUGAACAAGGUCCCAAGGGUAUGGCUGUUCGCCAUUUAAAGCGGUACGUGAGUUGGGUUCAGAACGUCGCAAGACAGUUCGGUCCCUAUCUGCCGUGGGUUCAAGGGUAUUGACAGGACCUGUCUCCAGUACGAGAGGACCGAGAUGGACAUACCUCUGGUCUACCUGUUGUCGUUGCCAACGGCAUGGCAGGAUAGCUAAGUAUGGAACAGAUAACAGCUGAAUGCAUCUAAGCCGGAAGCUAACCUGAAAACAAACCCUAAGUAAGAGUUGUGAUAGACCAUCACGUUGAUAGGUCAGAUGUGUAAGUGCGGCAACGCACUCAGCUAACUGAUACUAACUAUUCGAAAACAAGCAACA